ensembl:lncRNA
AAAGGUCCCCUCAUAGCGGUGGAGCCUCCUCCAUGACUCACUGUGGUUCUAAAGGUUCCCAUGCAGCGGUGGAGCCUCCACCAUGACUCACUGUGGUUCUAAAGGUUCCCUCAUAGCGGUGGAGCCUCCACCAUGACUCACUGUGGUUCUAAAGGUUCCCUCAUAGCGGUGGAGCCUCUACCAUGACUCACUGUGGUUUUAAAGGUUCUAAAGGUUCCCAUGCAGCGGUGGAACCUCCUCACUGCUCCUCUUAUCAGCAGCUUGGCCGUCCAUGUGUACCCUGGCCUUUCCUCCAUGCUGUUUCAAGUGUGUGUGUGUGUGUGUGUGUGUGUGUGUGUGUGUGUGUGUGUGUGUGUGUCCACCAUGACUCACUGUGGGGAGGGGUUGUUUGAGUGUGGUGGGCGGGGUUUGGAGUCUGUGUCUGUCUGAUUGUGAGUUUUGUGUGGUUCUAAAG